AUAGAUAGAUAGAUAGAUAGAUAGAUAGAUCUGAAUUCUGUUCCUGAAACUUACUACCUAGGUGAUCUUGGCAAGUCCCUGGACCCCUCAGAGUCUCAGCUUUCUUAUCUGUUAAAUAAGGCAAUUGAUUAUCUCUGAGGAUCUCUCAACUUUGAAUCGUAAGAUACCAAAAUUCCAUUCUCUCACUCCUUCCCUACUUCUUAUUUUUCUUCUACCUGCACAUCACCAGAAUCCUUCCUUAUUUCCUCCCCUUAGUCCUUUUUCCCCCAGUUAUGUCAUUCACAGACCCACCCCCACUCCAGCAGUGGCAGUUUUCCUAUCAUCUUGCUUUUCCCAGCAGUCUGCAGUCAAUCCUGUUCCUCAGGUCCCUCCACAGAGGUAGUUGAUUGCAUCAGCUGUGAGAAGUACUAUAUGACCUGCAAGGACCCCGUACUUUGUAAGGAUACCUUCCUACCACAGACCCUUUGGAUUGGAAGUAUUAUCAUCUUCAUCCUCUGUAUAUUCGUAUCAACCUUUGGAGCUGGGUGAGUAGUCAACUGAGUAAGGACCACCCCCAGUUCCUAACUUCUGACACACACCCCCCAAUCCAUCCAUAUCCUUAUCUUCUUUGGUCUUCCCUAUCUCCCUCCUACUUACUCCCAUUGCCCUAGUCCUCCAGUUUCAUCCUUUGCUCUGACUGGACUCAUCUCUUUCUUGUUUCUCAAUCUCAGGUUGUACUACUUCUGGUGGAGGCCCAAGAAGCUUGGGAAGGGUCCUGUAGGGCUGAAGGAGCCAGCACCAGGACCAGUACCAGCUUCAACACAGACAGCACCAUCACCACCAUCACCACCAUCACCACUAUCACCAC